rnacentral:rRNA from 1 species
UACGUAGGGUGCAAGCGUUGUCCGGAAUUAUUGGGCGUAAAGGGUUCGUAGGCGGUGCGGCAAGUCGGGAGUGAAAUCUCUGGGCUUAACUCAGGGGCUGCUUCCGAAACUGCCGUGCUUGAGUGCGGGAGAGGCGAGUGGAAUUGCAGGUGUAGCGGUGAAAUGCGUAGAUAUCUGCAGGAACACCCGUGGCGAAGGCGGCUCGCUGGACCGCAACUGACGCUGAGGAACGAAAGCUAGGGGAGCAAACAGG